rnacentral:tRNA from 1 species
GCCUUCGUGGUGUAAUGGUCAGCACGCUCGACGCGUAACUGACAGGUCCGUGGUUCGAGUCCCGGCGAGAGCA